AUUGGACUAAUCCUCCUCCACAUAUAGGCAAGGAUGGUCCCAAGAAGGGACUAACAUGGACUAUAACCUAGUUCAGGGCCGGUUGUUGUAGGGAGUGUUCAUCUAUAAUUGCUGAAAUAAAAGCAAGAUCAAGGCUUGAGGAAGUAGCUGAAGCUGCUCUGGAAAUCAGAGCUUUUUCCAGUAGAGGCAAUUUGGCUGAGGGAACAAAGUGAGUUGCUACCACAAGCAAGCAUUUCAGCACCAUCCAACCUGGUACCUGUCUGUGAGACCCAAAUACUUGUUAGGAAAAAUAUAUUUACACAACUCUUAAAAUAUAAAGAGUAGCAAAAUACGAAAUCUGUAUAAAUGUGCAAAUAUAAAUUAAGUACAGAAUAUUGACUUUUAUUGAAGAUAGAAGCUUGCGUAUUCGCAAUGUCCUAAAGACAGAAUUUCACCUCUUCUCAGUACUUGAAGUUCAGCAGGCGUCUAUCUCCCAGGAUUCAACUAUCUAUAAUUCAAGGGUCCAGCACCGGAUCCUUGAAUUUUGGCGACCGUUGGUGUGCUUCUCUCCAAUACAGUAGGUAAUUUUAAAAUAGUAUGAGAUAGUUCAGAAAAAAGAUCAUCGUAUUAUGCCCUAGGACUUGUGGUUUUAUAACAGAAUUACACCUCUUCAAAAGAGCAGUUAGUAUCAGUUAUACCUGUUCAAAUUCAAACAAAAAGAUUAGUCUUUGUGGUUUGAAUUUAACUUAUGCUAAAAGAAAUUUGAAAAAUAAAAAUAAAAAUAUUUAUUUUAUUUUCGGAC